ACCCGCGUCUGAUUAGCUAGUUGGUAAGGUAACGGCUUACCAAGGCGACGAUCAGUAGCCGACCUGAGAGGGUGAUCGGCCACAUUGGAACUGAGACACGGUCCAAACUCCUACGGGAGGCAGCAGUGGGGAAUAUUGCACAAUGGGCGAAAGCCUGAUGCAGCAACGCCGCGUGAGUGAUGAAGGCCUUCGGGUCGUAAAACUCUGUCCUCAAGGAAGAUAAUGACGGUACUUGAGGAGGAAGCCCCGGCUAACUACGUGCCAGCAGCCGCGGUAAUACGUAGGGGGCUAGCGUUAUCCGGAUUUACUGGGCGUAAAGGGUGCGUAGGCGGUCUUUCAAGUCAGGAGUGAAAGGCUACGGCUCAACCGUAGUAAGCUCUUGAAACUGGGAGACUUGAGUGCAGGAGAGGAGAGUGGAAUUCCUAGUGUAGCGGUGAAAUGCGUAGAUAUUAGGAGGAACACCAGUUGCGAAGGCGGCUCUCUGGACUGUAACUGACGCUGAGGCACGAAAGCGUGGGGAGCAAACAGGAUUAGAUACCCUGGUAGUCCACGCUGUAAACGAUGAGUAC
rnacentral:rRNA from 1 species